GGAUGAACGCUAGCGGCAGGCUUAACACAUGCAAGUCGAGGGGCAACACGGGUAGCAAUACCUGGUGGCGACCGGCGCAAGGGUGCGUAACGCGUGAGCAACAUGCCCUAUACAGGGGGAUAAUCCAGGGAAACUUGGUCUAAUAUCCCAUAGUAUUUAGAGGUGGCAUCACCACUAAAUUAAAGCUUCGGUGGUAUAGGAUUGGCUCGCGUGACAUUAGCUGGAUGGUGGGGUAACGGCUCACCAUGGCGUUGAUGUCUAGGGGUUCUGAGAGGAAGACCCCCCACACUGGGACUGAGACACGGCCCAGACUCCUACGGGAGGCAGCAGUGAGGAAUAUUGGACAAUGGAUGGAAAUCUGAUCCAGCCAUGCCGCGUGCAGGAAGACGGCCCUAUGGGUUGUAAACUGCUUUUAUAUGGGAGCAAUAAGGUUUACGCGUAGACCGAUGAGAGUACCAUAUGAAUAAGCAUCGGCUAACUCCGUGCCAGCAGCCGCGGUAAUACGGAGGAUGCGAGCGUUAUCCGGAUUUAUUGGGUUUAAAGGGUGCGUAGGCGGGCUGAUAAGUCAGUGGUGAAAGUUUGCAGCUUAACUGUAAAAUUGCCAUUGAAACUGUUAGUCUUGAGUACAGUAGAGGUAGGCGGAAUGUGUAGUGUAGCGGUGAAAUGCAUAGAUAUUACACAGAACACCAAUUGCGUAGGCAGCUUACUGGAGUGUCACUGACGCUGAGGCACGAUAGCGUGGGGAUCAAACAGGAUUAGAUACCCUGGUAGUCCACGCCGUAAACGAUGAUUACUAACUGNUUUGCGAUAUAAUGUAAGUGGUACAGAGAAAUCGUUAAGUAAUCCACCUGGGGAGUACGCCGGCAACGGUG
rnacentral:rRNA from 1 species